CACGUAGGGGCCAAGCGUUGUCCGGAUUUAUUGGGCGUAAAGAGCUCGUAGGUGGUUUGUCGCGUUGUUCGUGAAAACUCACAGCUUAACUGUGGGCGUGCGGGCGAUACGGGCAGACUGGAGUACUGCAGGGGAGACUGGAAUUCCUGGUGUAGCGGUGGAAUGCGCAGAUAUCAGGAGGAACACCGGUGGCGAAGGCGGGUCUCUGGGCAGUAACUGACGCUGAGGAGCGAAAGCGUGGGGAGCGAACAGG
rnacentral:rRNA from 1 species